rnacentral:rRNA from 1 species
AUUGAACGCUGGCGGCAUGCUUUACACAUGCAAGUCGAACGGCAGCGCGGGCUUCGGCCUGGCGGCGAGUGGCGGACGGGUGAGUAAUGCAUCGGAACGUGCCCAGUAGUGGGGGAUAGCCCGGCGAAAGCCGGAUUAAUACCGCAUACGACCUGAGGGUGAAAGCGGGGGACCGAAAGGCCUCGCGCUAUUGGAGCGGCCGAUGUCGGAUUAGCUAGUUGGUGGGGUAAAGGCUUACCAAGGCGACGAUCCGUAGCUGGUCUGAGAGGACGACCAGCCACACUGGGACUGAGACACGGCCCAGACUCCUACGGGAGGCAGCAGUGGGGAAUUUUGGACAAUGGGGGCAACCCUGAUCCAGCCAUGCCGCGUGCGGGAAGAAGGCCUUCGGGUUGUAAACCGCUUUUGUUCGGGAAGAAAUCCUCUGGGCUAAUACCCCGGGGGGAUGACGGUACCGGAAGAAUAAGCACCGGCUAACUACGUG